UACAGAGGGUGCAAGCGUUAUUCGGAAUUACUGGGCGUAAAGCGCAUGUAGGUGGGAUAAAAAGUCAGAUGUGAAAUCCCGGAGCUUAACUUCGGAAUUGCAUUUGAAACUGUUAUUCUUGAGUCUGGGAGAGGGAAGCGGAAUUCCAGGUGUAGAGGUGAAAUUCGUAGAUAUCUGGAGGAACACCAGAGGCGAAGGCGGCUUCCUGGUCCAGUACUGACACUCAGAUGCGAAAGCGUGGGUAGCAAAC
rnacentral:rRNA from 1 species